rnacentral:misc_RNA from 1 species
AUACAUAUUCAACUUCGAUGACGUACUUACAUACCACACGCAUACCACAGGUGUUACAUACGAACACAGAACAGCCGCUGAUUCAUACAAUUCUUUUGCAAUUCUCUUAGCGGUAGACCAGUGUAGAUGAGUUGAUAAUAUUAGCCACGAUAGUCAUUUUGCCAGUACGUCUUCCAUCGUUCGAGAAGUUCACUCAUCUGCAAACUGCCACAGCAUAGAUUUCAAUCGUCCAUAACAAAACAUCGUACUUAUUUCUAACCCGAUUGAGGUAUUUUGCAUAACAAACGACAACAAUGAGCUACGGAUACCAAGGACCUCCGGUGACAUCAUUCUCUGGCCAAAGGCCCCCGAAUUCCUUUGGAGCCCCACCUGGUGCCCCAACAGCACCUGGAAAUUCACCUUAUCCUGCAAAUGGUAUAGGGUUUAAUCUCUCCCCUGCACCCCCAAUUGGCUUUGGAAUGCCACAGCCUCACUCCCCUUAUUCCUCCAUACCUUAUCCCUCAAAUCAGUCUCAAUCUUCACUACCUUAUUAUCCGCAUAGUGGACAACAUCCAAUGUCCCAGCCUCAUCAAUACAACAUGCAGCUAUAUACAACUGGUGGCUCUUCUCCUGAGUCGUGUAAUUCUACAGUCUAUCCAGCAAGCAACCUAUCAAACUCGGCUGCUAAUAAUCCUUAUCCGUCAAAUCCAAGCCAUACAGUGUACCGAACUCAGUCAGCAUAUAACUCAGCAAGUUCUACUUCGCAUCUGGGCCAGUAUAGUCGGCACCAGGCAAACUCUGCUUCAUAUCCAAACAGUAGUAGACCCUUUCCACAUAACGCAUCCCGUCCAAGUAGCGCUAAUCACUACCCACAAAAUUCGAGUCUAUAUCCAAGCAUGUGUAGUCCCGGGGGGCAGGGGAUGGCAGCAGCCUACUCUCAGCAUAUCAACACACCUACUUUGCCACCUCGGCAUAUAGCCCCGGCCCCCCGACGAUCACGUCCACAGGCUAAGCUUUCCCCAACUGUGGUACCAUGGCGAGAUUUUGAUCCACGAGCAGAUGCAGAGGCACUACGAAAGGCUAUGAAAGGAUGGGGAACUGAUGAAAAAACGAUUAUUCACAUCUUAACCAAUCGCAGCAAUCUGCAGCGUCAAGAGAUUGCCUCGCAGUUUAAAACUCUUUAUGGCAAGGAUCUAAUCAAGGACUUGAAAUCAGAAUUGUCUGGCAACCUGGAGACCUUGGUCGUUGCAUUGAUGAUCCCUCUUCCCCAAUACUAUGCCAAAGAAUUACACGACGCUAUGUCUGGUAUAGGUACAGACGAAUGUGUUUUGAUUGAAGUUCUUUGCACCAUGUCUAACCACGAGAUUCGCGUCAUCCAGCAGGCUUAUCAAGCUAUGUAUGGAACAAGUUUGGAAAGCGAUCUGAAGGGGGAUACAUCUGGCAGUUUCAAACGCCUCAUGGUUUCCUUGUGCUGUGGUAAUCGAGAUGAAUCAUUUGAUGUGGAUCCAGCUGCAGCCCAAGAAGAUGCUCGUGCACUUCUCAGAGCUGGAGAGCUACGAUUUGGUACAGAUGAAUCAGUAUUCAAUCAAAUUUUGGUGCAAAGAAACGUGGCCCAGCUGCGACAAAUAUUUGCAGAAUAUGAAACCAUGACCGGCCAUGAUAUUGAGAAGGCUGUCGAAAACGAAUUUUCUGGGGAUAUCAAAAAAGGCCUCCUUGCAAUUAUCAAAUCUAUAAAAAAUCGAGCCGGCUUUUUUGCCGAGCAACUCUACAAAAGUAUGAAAGGCAUUGGGACUCAAGACAACCGCCUCAUUCGACUGGUUGUCACCCGCUGUGAAGUUGACAUGGAAGAGAUCAAGCAGGCUUUUGCUCAGCAGUACGGCAAGUCCCUUGAAGAUUUCAUAGCGGAUGAUUGCUCUGGAGACUACAAGAAGUGUCUACUGGCUCUGGUCGAAUGAAUGCUGAAAUAGGCUUACCUGACCCACUUAUGUGAACAGAAUAAUCUGUGAUUACAUAAAGGUAUGGAUGUAUUGCCACAGGUCAAGAAUGAUAUUUAUCGAUGGCAACAAUAGUUUGAAAGUGCAGGAUAUUUAUCUUACACCCAAUUAUCUGUUACGUUCAUUUAAUAGUUUUUGAGAAAAAUAUUGAUAGUUUUUGUAUUAUUUUAACGAGAAGUAAUUCCUCGUUAAUUGAUUCUCGUCCAUUAAAUGUGAAUUUAAUUAGAUGCUUUAAAAUAUAAAACAGACUUUUACAUUGCCGUAAAUGUACGUGUAAACUAUUGUACUACUAAUUGAUAUUAGCGUAAAAUUCGAAUCUUCCGUGCCAAUAACGGAAAUUAUAAAUUUGUUCAUCAUAUGCCAAUGCAUUGUUCAUAAAGAAUAAGAUCUGAUUGUGCGCUUUCCGUCGCUAUAUAAUCUGAAUCGACAUUCGUAAUAUUUGUGUUCCUAUGUUGAAAUCGUCCCAGAGUUUACGCCUACAAUUUCCUCUAUUUUUGGAUAUACCUGUACUUUAUAAUCAAAAUAUACACGCGUAUGGUAUCUGAAAUAUUUAUAUAUGUAUAUAUAUGUAUAUGUAGAGUCUAAUUGAAUUGUUGAUUAUAAUUCUAUAAUUAUACACAUUCUUUGUCACCAUUAUUCUCGCGCUUUCAGCGCUGAUAUUUUUACAAAGGUUGACUCGUAUGCGAAAUAAAUUUGCUGUUCUCGCCAAU